rnacentral:lncRNA from 1 species
UCUCACAGUUGGUUCUCAACAUGAAACUAUUUUAUCUUUCCAUAUUACAGUUGUAGCCAAACAAAUAUAUUGAUUUUUUAAAAUAUUUUUAUUUAAAUGUUGGUGUUUGGAUGCUGAGUAUCUGUAUCUCUCAAUUCAAGCCACUGCUCUUGGUGGAAAUAUCCCUUUAACAGACCUCAGACUCAGUUGCAGCGUGCCUAGCAACAUGGUGGUCCUGGAGCUGACUUUGCCAGGGAGCAGUGCCAGAGGUUGAUGAGGCCAACAUUGCCAGAGGGGAAGAAUGUCAAUGAAGGUGGCAGUGCCCUCCCCAGCCAUCCUCCAGGAUCAGCUAAUUUGCGGAUCUUUCAGUUUUAUUGUCACUGUCACCAAAAUGAUAAGAUUAAGCUUUUGACUUCAUCCCUGCCACCUUUUACCUAUGUCUCUCUCUAGGCUGUUUCAGGGAUGGAGUGGUGCAUCAUUCUACUGAAGAACUGAGUUAGAUUUUAUUUCUUUUUUUUAAUUAAAAUAUUUUCUGUAUCAAACCCAAACAUUACUUUGUUAAGUAGAUGCUGAAUAAUUUUUAGGCCUUUCCAGAAAUUGAAGCAUUGCUGAGGUAGUGUUUCACUGUCACUUGCAGCAUUGCCUGGAAUAUUGCUUAAAGAUAGUAUUUUCCGAAGACAAAUGAUUUUUCCUAAAGCAGGUAUGAAAUUCAGGUAAAAUCUGAUAUUCUUCUUCUCCCCUUCCAUUUAACAUAGACAUGUUUAAUUUUUGUAAAAAGCAUAUACUGAAUUUAUACAUGGAUCUCUGCAGUCAUUAGGCAUUUUUAAUUGUUAACAAGUCUGUGGUGUUAUUGUAGAUUAGUGGGGUGAAAGCAAUUUAAAAGACUAUUAAAGAGUAGAUUCCUACUUACAGAUUUUUCUGGUCAUUCUGAAGUGACUUCUUUCUUGAUCUGAUAUUAAGAAAGUCCUGUGAGGUCCAUGAGCUUUAAGUGCUAAAGGAACAGUACGUGAAUGGAGAAGAAGCUUUAAUGGCUCUGUGCCCCAGCAGAGCCUUAAGAGAAUACUAAACCCCCCUCACUUUUACAUCCGUAAUUUCUAUGGACUUUUCUUUUGUCCAAGUACUGUGAAAGGUAGGAUGAAUAUAAAGAACCUUAGUGCUUUCAGCUGCACUGACAGGAGACUAGGAAAAGCAAUUUCAGGCAGUAAAAAUGCCUGGAGAUCUUCAGGAUUUUAUCACAGUCUUAUGCUGGCUGCUGCCAACCUUCUCUUGAGAAGAAUGUGACAGCAGUGCUAAAGGCUUUUCAUUUUAAUCACCGUGUGACUUGGUCUGAACAAAGAAAAGGUGGUUUGGAUCAAAAUGAAACUUUUGUUAGAGCAGUGAUUACCAGGAAAGAGAGUUUCACUUUUCAUGUUCAUCCAUGCCUCAAAGCUCGCAAUCUGAAUUUUAUAACAGGCAGUAUUAGAAACAGUGACAAAACACAGAGGUUUUGGGAAGGGGAAGCUCAGAGAUGUCAGUGUUAAUCAUGUGAGGGCAUUUCUGCAUCUUGACAGCAUUGCUUUUUGUUUGUUUUCUUUAAAUGAAAUAGAUGUCUGUUUUUUCCUUCUUCUAGGAGUGAUUUGAAUAAGCACCAGUUCUUUUCAUCAUGGAAGAAGUCUAUUUUAUGAGACAUUUAAAUGAAGAAUAGGAUAGCAGUUAGGGAAAUAUAUUGGGGUUCCCCCAGGAGAACAAAGUAUGUUGCUUGUGGAACAUUGACAUUCAGUUUCAUGCGCUUUAGUCAGGAAAGUCUGUAGCAGAAAUGCCCGCACCAGGGGAGGGUUUCUAGUCCUUGUAUGAUCUCCCCAGUGUUAUUUAUGCUUGUGCAUGUACUAUUUUAAAGUUGUUCUGUGACAUCAAAAUUUAGAAUGGACAAAUGGUAUUUUCCAUGAUCAGGCAAAUUUGUUCUGACCUAGGAAAGACACUUGCUGAACCCACAGGUAUUUAGUGUUUAUUAAAGUGAUUAUAGCAUACAGGUUCUCGUUAGCUGUUUUAUUGUGGGGGAACAAGUAUAGGAACGGUGUAUUGAGGCAGAAGAGCUGACUGUUCUUAGAUGGACUGCUCCUCAUCUGUUGCAUGAUAUUAUUACAUCAAAUGAGUCCAGGUGAGGUUGUGGCCUUGGGGGGCCAAACACUGAGAGCAAGUGACCUUUAUUUACUUACUUCAGUAGUUUACCUUAAUGGCACUACAUUAUCUCCGUGGUUGCAUCUGUGUUUAAAUACAGGUUUUCAAAUACAAAACACUUGUGUCACUUUGGAAUAUAUGUAUACCUCUGUUACCUGCUGAGCUUCAUCUAGACCUCUCUCAGUACGACAUGCCAUUUAAACCUCUGAUUCAUGUUCACUGACUAAACCUGUGGUGGUUUGAAUUGUUACUGUUAGUAGCAGAAUGAAACAUACCUCCCUUCCUCUUACCUUGGUUGUUUCAGGUCAGUCUGGCAGUUUAGCACAGACCUAUUUUUGGCAGUGAGUAGGGCUGUACAGGAGAGAACACUGGCGUGGCUAUAGUAUGUUCCUGUACUCUGCUUAUACUUUUACUACAUGGAGUUAAUCCUCCGCAAAAGGUGUGGUAUAGACAUCUGAAGGCAAUAAUGCCUUAAACUGCCUCAACAAGGUUUUUGUGGAGCUUUGUUUAUUAGGGUUUUUAAUGGUAAGGAAAUUUGAUGCAAUUAAAAAUAGAGAGAUUUAUAUACUACAAGUAAUGAAUUGUUACUAGGUCAGGAACAGUUUUUCAUCAAUGCCCUCAAUAGAUGAACAAGAUCUUCAUAAGAUAAUUUUAUUAUAAUCAGGUAGAUUUUUGACACUACAAUUUUUAUAGUGAGUUUUAAAGCAACUAUAUGUACAUAAGGGUUGUAAACAGUCAUAAAGUGGCAAGGUUUCAGUGGCGGCUUUUUCUUAAUUUCAAGGGCUUUGGGGCUGGAGUUGGGUUAGUUUACUAAGUGUGUAGCAAAAUUGCCAAAGCCAAAACAGAGAGGCUAUAAAUGAAAGGAUUUUAUCCAAACUUUCUCUAUAAUAUUGGCUACUUGAUAUUGUCCAGGCAGUGUCUCAUGUUGGCUUAGGAAGAUGACAUAUAGAAAAACAAGAAAUCUAAUAAAUAUAAGUGUAACUACAUGCUAUCAUAAUUACAUUAUUUUUAAGAUUUUUCAUUUUUUAACUCAGGACUUUCAGAGACCAUAUUUUCUGUGAUGUCUUAUCUUGGGAACUAGCUGAACUAUUUUCCUUUGCUGGCUGUGCUUUACUUGUUCUCUGACUUUUGGGGUUAAGUUCAAUUUUGAAUUUGAACUUUAAAUUAAUUUUUUGUUUUAAUUUUUGAAGUAGAUGUGUUCUUCACUUGACUCAUGUAAAAACCUUUAUGAGAAUAGUAGAAAAUCAUGUCCUUGAAGGGAACUACAUCUAAUCUUAAAUCUACUUAGGCUACAUUUCAUCGUGUCUAAAAGCAGCUGUUGCUGUACCUUGUUUACUAGAUUUUAGGUGUCUUGGCCGCAAGCCUGACUGACAAAUGACAAGUUCUCCAACCUCUUCUGUUAGGCUGAAAUAUUACUUGCCAAUGAUUUUGUUUGUAAACACUGGUAACUAAAAAUUCUAUUUUGGUGGUGAAUCAGUAUUUUGGAUGGGAUUUAUAGGGAUACUUAAUCUACUGUAUUUCCUUUGAUUCUGGUGACAAUAUAUGAGGAUUCUUGCUUAUGUGCAGCUGAAAGCUUUGUCCAUGUUAUCUUACCCCUGUGCAUUUUCAGCUCCUCCUGGUUUAUUCCGGCUUGAGAAGCUUUUUCUGGGGAAAAGUAUGUCUGUGAUGGUUGGUCAUUGAUACAGUUGUGCUUUGGGUGAUCAUCUUAUUUUAUGAAUUUCACUGCAUUAGUAAUGCCUGUAUGUUAAGAAUAAAAAUCAUAGCAAAGUGCUCUUGUAAUAAUGGUAUUGAUUUUGUUGAAAAAUGAAUUUAUAGCAAGACAAAAUUUUUUUACCUGGGUAAAAAGAGAUUUGAAAUGUGAUGUAUGUGAGGAAUACCUGUUGAUUAUUUAUUUUGGGAAAGAUUUGGAUUUCAAGUGGCAGAUGAAAUUCAAGAGAUUAAAUAUAACUAUUUGAAGAAAAGCAGCUCUUAGUUUUCAUACAAUAACAAGAUGAAUUGUAUCCGUUUCCUGUCAGGAAGAAGAUCUUGGGUUACUCUAAGUCACUUUAUGGAAAUGGUAGUUUAAUAAGCCAUGGCUUACCAAAAAGUGUUGAGAUAUUAGUAAUUAUAAAAGUAAUAAAGAAAACUACUAGAAAUCAUUGCUGCCAUCACCAUGGUAUGCCUGGGCCUUGAAUACCAAAGGUAGCUGGUCCAAGGUAGCACAGGUAGAAGGAGUUCUGAGGAAUGGCAAAGCGACUCCUUCUCUAAGGGAGAAUGUAAGUCGCUAGGAUUUUCCAACCUAGAAAAGAAAAGAUUAAGGUGCAGGGGUGUAUGAGAAAUCUGUAAGGUCAUGAACAUCGUAGGAGAGAAGUGGGUAUAAUUAAUGAUUGUUUCUCCUCCAGUGUAAAAAAAAAAAACCAAUAAAAAUUAAGGUAGCACUAUGAAAACAAGCUGUAUGUAGUGAAUUGUGGAAUACGUUGACAGAAAACACUGGAUGUCAGAAGCUGCCAUGGGUUAAAAAUCUAGAGAAAUUCAAAGAGGAGUAGUGUAUUAAAUGCUGUCAUCAUGCUUCUGGCUUGGGAGACCAUAUGCCACAGAUUACCAGAGGCUGGCAGGCUGUGAUGGGAGAAUUGUCACAGUGUGUUUAUCCUAUUCUUACACUUGUCCUUAGGCAUCUGUUACUAGCUGCUGUUGCAGACUGUGUUGAUGGUAGAGGAACUAAGGGCUGACCUAAAGUGUCUGCUCUUACCUUCCUGCUCUGUUGCAUUGUUACAUCUUUAUUACUUUUCAUGUACUAACUCUGGAUAUUUCUUUUCGUAUUUGGACUGUCAGGAAAAGAAUGCACAAUAUACUUCAGCUGUUUGGGGUUUUUUUGAAUAAAA